AUCUAUGGCCAUGCCACCCUGAACAAGCCCGAUCUCGUCUGAUCUUGGAAGCUAAGCAGGGUCAGGCCUUGUUAGUAUUUGGAUGGGAGACCACCUAGGAAUACCAGAUGCUGUAAGCA
rnacentral:rRNA from 1 species